UACGUAGGGUGCCAGCGUUACUCGGAAUUACUGGGCGUAAAGCGUGCGCAGGCGGUUUGUUAAGUCCGUUGUGAAAGCCCCGAGCUCAACUUGGGAAUUGCAGUGGAUACUGGCAGGCUGGAGUACGGUAGAGGAAGGUGGAAUUCCCGGUGUAGCAGUGAAAUGCGUAGAUAUCGGGAGGAACACCAGUGGCGAAGGCGGCCUUCUGGACCAGUACUGACGCUCGUGCACGAAAGCGUGGGGAGCAAACAGG
rnacentral:rRNA from 1 species